AUUCGCCCUUCACUCUACUGUAAUCUCUGUGAUUUUAUUUCAGCUCAGAAAAAGGCUGUGCUACCAGAGAGGAGUGAGUGACUCAGCAAAAGGGCUCUAAAGCCUCCUCCCAUCACACGCCGGACCUCGGGCCUUCCUACUUUGAAGAUGUCUGAACACAGAAUGAGGAACCAACCGGAGCCCACCUUCUCCAAGUCUCCGCACCUUCCCACCAGUCUGUCCCUUGCAACAGCCUCAACUAAAUUAUCAAGGAAAUUCUGCUGCGGGAAACGACCAAACAAAAACCUGUUGUGGAGGUUCCAGGGCAAUAAAGGCCUAAAGACAGCCAGAGGAGACUGGAAGGAGGAAUUUCCAAGUGUCAGCACAACUUCGAAAAGAAAUGUUCUUUGACUGAAGCUACCUGAGGAACAGCAAUGAAAAUGAGAUCACCUACACUUGCACGCUUGCAAUGAGAUUACCUCCAGCAAGAGUAGUACAAGGUCACAAAAUGGAGGGUCACCAGCUAGAAAUACAUAUAUAUGAUGGUUUCCAGUCCAGGACCAUGAAGACAUUGCUAACUUCAAUGAGAUGAGCCGAACAUCUCAGUAACACAGAGCCCUCUCAAUGGAGUCAUAACCGCUCUUUAGUCCACACAAGUUCAUCAUCCACAAAAGACGCUAUUAUCUCCUGUCUGGUUGGAUCAUUUCCUGCUCAAGGAGACUCUCCAAGUUGAAGAACACCUUGAGGACAACCGGGUACUAUGUUUGGUUUUCGGUAAGCAUCGUUUCCUGUUUAUUACAAUUUAUAUAAAAUGAGGAAUGCCUUAAAACAGGCAACAUCUUGCACAGAAAGCUGGCUACAUAUUUGUUUCCACUCUAAACUGCAGACUCAGAAAACCUUGGGCAAAGACCAAAAAUUUUGUUUCUGAGGAUCCUUCAUGAUUGGUGCAAAUUCAGCCAAGUUUGGAGGUAGAGGCACGCAGUUCAGUACACAUUCAAGGUCAACUUGGCUGUUCAGUGAGUUCCAGACCAACCAGGGAUCAAGACCUUGUCUCAAAAACAAACAAGUAAACAACAAAAGAAAAAGCAUAAAAAAGGAAGGGAGGAAGAAAGGAGGGGGGAGUGAAAGGGAAGGCAUUUUUCUUGAGUCUUGAGAAGGACUGCGUCUGUACCAAUUUGCUUUUAGCCCAUGAAACCCUCCAUUCACACUCUGACCUCCACUGUGCCAUGGCUUUAAGCUUGUGCUGCUGGGAAAUGCCAAGUUUGUGAUAAUUACAGUACAAUGUCAUUCUUUAUUCUGCUCCCAGCUGGCACAGAAUGUCCCUUGGAUUGAUUUCUAGACACUCUAUUCUUUUCAUUGUUUUCUAAGUGGUAUUUUUUU